rnacentral:rRNA from 1 species
GGCAACAAGAUCACAGACAGGAAUUGUGCUCAUGUACAUAAGUCUUGGUUUAUUAGAUCAUACGCAUCAAAUGGAUAACUGUGGAAAAUCUAGAGCUAAUACAUGCCGCGAAACUUCGACUUGCGAAGGAGUGCUUUUAUUAGAUCAAAGCCAAUGGCCCACUUGUGGGUCUGAAACUGUGCUGAUUCUGAGUAAAGUAAGCUGAUUGCAUCGCCAUUGAGUAGGUGACGUAUCUUUCAAGUGUCUUCCCUAUCAACUUUCGUUGGUACUUUAUAUGACUACCAUGGUCGUAACGGGUGACGGGGAAUCAGGGUUCGAUUCCGGAGAGAGAGCAUGAGAAACGGCUGUCACAUCCAAGGAAGGCAGCAGGCGCGCAAAUUACCCAAUCCUAGAUCGGGGAGGUAGUGACGAAAAAUAACGAUGCCGUGAUCUUAGGAUUCGGCAAUUGGAAUGAGAACAAUCAAAAUCCUUUAUCGAGGAUCAAUUGGAGGGCAAGUUCUGGUGCCAGCAGCCGCGGUAAUUCCAGCUCGAAUAGCGUAUAUUAAAUUUGCUGCGGUUAAAAAGCUCGUAGUUGGGUGUCAGGAGAUGAACUUGGGGCUACCAUACUUGUGUAGUAUUACCCGAGAUUCGCUCCUUUAAUUACCACUCCUAUGUGGACGCACUUUACUGUGUGCUGCGUAUGGAUGGUAUGAUACUACUUUGAGAAAAUUAGCGUGCUCAACGCAGGCGAGUCGCUUGCAUACUGUUGCAUGGAAAUAAUGAGAAAGGACCUCGGGUUCUGUUUCGUUGGUUUCCCGGAAAGCUGAGGUAAUGAUUGAUAGGGACAAACGGGGGGCAUUUCGUAUUUGUGGUGUUUGAGGUGAAAUUUCUGUGAUCACCGCAAGACGAAACAAACUGCGAAAAGCCAUUUUUGGCCCAAAGAAAUGG